rnacentral:rRNA from 1 species
CCUACGGGAGGCAGCAGUGAGGAAUAUUGGUCAAUGGCCGUAAGGCUGAACCAGCCAAGUCGCGUGAAGGAAGAAGGAUCUAUGGUUUGUAAACUUCUUUUAUAGGGGAAUAAAGGUAUCCACGUGUGGAUAUUUGCAUGUACCCUAUGAAUAAGCAUCGGCUAACUCCGUGCCAACAGCCGCGGUAAUACGGAGGAUGCGAGCGUUAUCCGGAUUUAGUGGGUUUAAAGGGUGCGUAUGUUGUUUUUUAAGUCAGCGGUGAAAGUUUGUGGCUCAACCAUAAAAUUGCCGUUGAAACUGGAAGACUUGAGUGUGUUUGAGGUAGGCGGAAUGCGUGGUGUAGCGGUGAAAUGCAUAGAUAUCACGCAGAACUCCGAUUGCGAAGGCAGCUUACUAAGCCAUAACUGACACUGAGGCACGAAAGCGUGGGGAUCAAACAGGAUUAGAUACCCGAGUAGUC